GUACUAGUGGUCUAGUGGUAGAAUAGUAUCCUGCCACUGUACAGGCUUGGGUUCAAUUUCCGGCUGGUGCA
rfam:Lupinus angustifolius cultivar Tanjil contig_49439, whole genome shotgun sequence.